ACUCUGCGGGAGUGGGAAAGUGUACAAAUGGAACAUGUACAUCAUAUUCCAGUCAAAUGAAAGAUGCACAUCAUUAAAAGGUCAAGGACUCUUUCUCCUUCUAAAACUGCUUAUACAGUGUGCAUGGUCUACUUAGUCUAAGUUCUAGGGCAGAUACUGUCAUUUUUGUUCUGUGUUUGUAUAGGGCCUAGCACAGUGGGGUCCUGGUCAUGACUGAUGCUCUAAGUGCUAAUGCAAAGCAAACGAGAAGAAGAAGAGUAGAUAAAUGUAUAGACCGAGCAACUUCAGCUUGAAUUAUUGAUUCUGAAGCCUUGGGCAAGUCUCUUAAAUCUCUCCCUCUCUGUUUCCACAUCUGUAAAAUGGGGGUGAUAUUCAGUCCUCCCAUCACUGCUCUGACGUAAGCUCAGACGGUUUUUCAUCUUCAAAGUGCCGUACAAAAUCUGGUCUCUGCUGUAUGAAAAUGCUGCUGAACCACCGUGCAGAGUCUAAUCUUCCUUUUUGUUGUUCAUGCGCUGACUCCAUCCUGAGUUUGUGGUGAGCACAUUUUGUGCUAACAGCAGUGGAAUCUUUCUCCUAGAUGUCCAGAAUGAGCUGGGAUUGUGACUUAUUGCCUUUGUUCAUGUCAAGGCUGCUGUUGCCAACCAGUGCUGUCCGGAAACGGGAUAAAACGAGGAAACAAUGGUCAGAUGUAAACAUAGAGACACUUACUCAUGCUAGAAGAGGAGAGAAUCAGGCAAUUAGUAGCCAUGUCCUUUUGUCCCACAGCCAGAAUAAGAAUGAAGGCUCAUUCAGGACUUGUGGUAUCUUCCUUGGAUAACAGGCCACUUGCUUUUCUUGAGCUUAGUUUUGGCAUAGCUCUUCCUGGCACAUUCAUCUAAUCUGUAAUCUCCAUCUAACCUUGCUUUCAUCACACUGCAGACCCUGUUGUUUGUAUUGCAGUAGUACUUAGAGGUUGAAAUCAAGAGGCCCUGUUGUGCUGAGCACUCUAUAAACCUGUAAAUAAAAUUUGGGAGCUCCUGCUCUAAGAUAAUGACAAGGUGAGGUCCUUAUGCAUGGUCAGCGGCAGUCCCAAUUUUCUUUCUGGCCACCAGAGGGGGUUAUUUUACUACCUGCUGUAAUAAAACAAACCCAGUUUAAAGGGUGUAGAGACUAGAAAUUAGACACAAUGCUAGCAUCCUUGUUUGUCUCCUUGCUCCCCCAUCUUCUCACCACACCCUCUGUUCCCUGCACCUCUUCUCUGUGUCCAACUUUUACCCUAAUGUUACGCUUGGAUGUUGUGAUGUUAGUCCUUUGUUGUUGCUUCUGUAGCAGACACAGCGAGUGGCUGUGCCUGUGAUUUUGGGGACUUCCUUCCCUCUGGCUGAGCUACUGCAUCUUACUGGAUGAAGCCAGUUUAAAGUGCUGGGUUUAGUCUGAUUCCAUCCGGAAGAGUUAACCCUCAUCUCGUCAACCUGGUCCUCAGCCUUUAGACUAACCCAAACUCUUUUCUUUGUGAUGGGAAGGUAGUGAGGGUCAGAAGGAGAGGAGGGUGGUGUUCCUAGGGCUUGUUGUAUUGUUCCUUAGCAACACCCAAUGGCUGAUCCAGUGCCGUUAAUUAGAGGCUCUGCUCAUGUCUGCUCCAGCAAUUGCUCACAGAGCAAAUGUUUUAAAAUGGGUCUGGCUAGGAUGACACAGAACACAGCAGACGGAGCCGUUCCUGGCAAGCUAAGUGCAAUGUUAAUUAUAACAUAAUUAGUGUGUUCUCACUGCACUGUGAAAGAGCGGGGGUUGAGUACAGAAGCUGAGGAAUUAUUCCUUACACAUCUAAAGUUUGUGAGGCCUUCCAUCCCCUGGGGAAGACUUUGGUUCCAGAAUCAGCUACUGCCCGUUUACGAAAUAUUCCAAUUAUUGAGAGGCAGAGUAAGCUAUUGGAUAGGACACAGGACCGGGAAUCAGGAGACUUGAAUUGUUUUUCUGACUCUGCCAUUCACCAGCUGAGAGACCUUGGGCAAAUCACUUGACCUCUCUGGGUCUCUUUCCCCUGCAACCCUUUGGCUUGCCUAUUUAGUUUGUCAGCUUUUCUGCGCAGCAACCAUCUCUGUGCUUGUACAGUGCCUCGCAUAACAGAGCCCUGAUCUUGGGCUACCAGGCACAACUGUAAUACACAUAAUAUAUAAUACUCAAGGAGGAACCUGUGGUUUUCUCCCCAUCCUUCCAUUUAUGCCAUGAUUGUCUAUCUCUGCAUAUGCAACAUGUUUCAUAAUAAUCAUAGAUGGAGCAGUCUUCCUCUUUUGCAUUUAGCCCCUUUCCUGUAGAAGCAGUAUAACUAAUCUGCGCCAUAUGCGCUGCAGGGAGAUUGUAUAUUUCCAAGGAGGGAUGGGAGAAACUGCCCAGGGGUUAUAUGGUGCUCUAUGGGAGCAGUGGGUUUUUUAUCUUUCUCACUGGGGAAGCAGGAGUGGAGUGUGCUGCAGAGAUAGCAUGCUCAGGCCUGUGGGUGAGGGGCCUUUCAUCCUCCGUCUCUGUGAUCUCUCUAACAUCUGUCCCCCUUAUGCCUGGGUCAAGCCAAGUCGUUUUCAUAAACACCAAAUUCACUCUCUAGUGUUACACGCUAAAGGAUGAGACUUUGCUUUCUGAGAGAGAACUUUAUUAUCCCUUGAGUUCUGGCUUUUCUUAGGCAGCUUCUUACAGGCUCGGUCUUCCCUGCUCUGGACAUACAGUUGCAGUGCAGAAAACAGUGAGCUAACCUGCAAACAGCCCCAGCCCUGGCUUGUAGCUACUUAGCAGAGUAGAAACCUCUUCUAAGGAGCAGAGGGAAGAGCCUGACUUGUGUAGAAUGCUCUACUUUCUACCUCCCACCAACAUGGUUCCCGACCAGGUUAAACAUAGACCAUGAUGAGUCAAAGAACUACAGCUAGGGAACAUGACUUAUAGCAAGAACUGUUUGCUGUCAGCUGAAGAGGGUCAGACUCACUCUCUCACAUACUUGAUGGAAACACAGUCCCUAAAAUCAGGGAUUCUACAGUGCUAAUGUUGGCUGUAAACUAAGCUUUCACUGAUUUGAAUAAAUAUCAGUGGAAAAAUAAGGACCCACACAAGUUGGAUGGGGUAUCUUUUUUAUUGGACCAACUUCUAUCUCUUUCACCAACAGAAGUAAUUUUUAUUGGACUUCUCACCUAUCUUGUCUCCAGUUGCCUAGGACCCAGCCAGCUGUAACAACAGUAAUGAAGAAUAAUUUCUGGCACCAGGCACGUGCCAUUGCAUGUACUAGUUGGGAGUAUGGAAAUAAUUUGAUACCAAGAUGCAGCCAGCCUCUUUUGCCCUAUAAUAUACAGUUCUAUGCAUGCCAUGACUUUUAUACUUCUGCCUGCAGGCCCUGAGAUGCAAUAUGGAGAACAAAGUUUGGACAAAUAAUAAUCCAAACUUUGCAGUCAUUGACAAGGAUGACUUUGACAGUCCGCAGCAUCCUCUGCAUUAUGUUUGAAGCGCCGUCACAUAAAUAAAAUACGUAGCAAACCUUUUUUUUUUUUUCCUUUUUGAUGACUCACACAUUUAUCAUUUAUAAACAAGCUCCUUCGAUUCCCUUGUGUCCCCCUCAUCCCCACUCAAAAAUAGAUCAGGGGGUGCUGGAAGCUUCUGCUUGAUGUAACAACUUUCAGAAUAUUGAGCUACAAAAUAAGACAUCCAGUUUUACCCA